rnacentral:rRNA from 1 species
UACGUAGGGUCCGAGCGUUGUCCGGAAUUAUUGGGCGUAAAGGGCUCGUAGGCGGUUUGUCGCGUCGGGAGUGAAAACCUACAGCUUAACUGUGGGCUUGCUUUCGAUACGGGCAGACUUGAGGCAUGCAGGGGAGAACGGAAUUCCUGGUGUAGCGGUGAAAUGCGCGGAUAUCAGGAGGAACACCGGUGGUGUAAACGGCUUUCUGGACCAUAACUGACGCUGAGGCACGAAAGCGUGGGUAGCAAACAGG